CCUACGGGCGGCAGCAGUGGGGAAUAUUGGACAAUGGGGGGAACCCUGAUCCAGCCAUGCCGCGUGUGUGAAGAAGGCCCUCGGGUUGUAAAGAACUUUCAGUGAGGAAGAACGCCUGGUGGUUAAUACCCAUCAGGAAAGACAUCACUCACAGAAGAAGCACCGGCUAACUCCGUGCCAGCAGCCGCGGUAAUACGGAGGGUGCGAGCGUUAAUCGGAAUUACUGGGCGUAAAGCGCGCGUAGGUGGCUUGAUAAGCCGGUUGUGAAAGCCCCGGGCUCAACCUGGGAACGGCAUCCGGAACUGUCAAGCUAGAGUGCAGGAGAGGAAGGUAGAAUUCCCGGUGUAGCGGUGAAAUGCGUAGAGAUCGGGAGGAAUACCAGUGGCGAAGGCGGCCUUCUGGACUGACACUGACACUGAGGUGCGAAAGCGUGGGUAGCAAACAGGAUUAGAUACCCCAGUAGUC
rnacentral:rRNA from 1 species